rnacentral:rRNA from 1 species
AUGUAUAAUUAUAUUCAGGUAUGUAGUUGUCCAACACAAAAAAAAAGCCCUAUGUUUACUGUCCGAAAUGUUGUUGUCCAGAUAUAUAUUCAGGUAUAUAUUCCGGUAAAAUUUAGUUGUACUCCAGAUAUAUAUUCAGGUAUGACAGUAACAAUACAAUUUUUUUAUGAUACUCCCAUAUUGUUGCAGACAUUGGUGAAAAUUGCAAUGGUCAUCUACUCUGUUUCUGAAUUGGCCAUAUAUUAUGCAAUCCCUCUAUUUCUGAAUUUUGGUUCGUUGCAGAGUUCAUAUAAGUACUCCAUGCAAAAUUGCAAAGUACUACUCCAUGCAAAAUUGUAG